GGGCCCAUAGCUCAACGGUCAGAGCAGAGCACUCAUAAUGCUUUGGUUCCAGGUUCGAAUCCUGGUGGGCCCACCA
rnacentral:tRNA from 1 species